GCUCACCACGCAUCUCUAGGUCGACGAACGCUAAGAACUUUUUGCUUGUUCGCAUUCUUGCGCACCAUAAUGCCUUCAGUGUGUUUGUGAAAUUCGGCAAAAGAGAGCGGCCGAGAGAUUGAGCAAAGCUUCUUCCGGACCAGAUCUGAGCGCAGCCUCCAAAUCAAAUGAAACUUCUGGCGUUAGAAAAUCAGAGAGCGGAAGUCGAUUCUCAGAGGAGACGAACACUGUACCAUGUUUAAAUCUCUCAAAGAUGUAGCCAUGGAGAAAAAUGCAGCAGUUGUUGCCCAAGAAUUUGCAGUCUAGAUGUUCUUUAACUAUUUUUCCCCUUUUCCUUCAUUUUGCUCCUCCUUAGCAUUACUGAUGGUGUGAUAAAUUAGCACAGGAGGAUCUGUUGCAGCCCAAGCACAUCGCACAUAUUGUCCUCUUUUGGCUCUCUCAAGGAUAUGUUGCAACUCAAGCCCAUCGCUACCAGAUAUGGUCCUCUUUCUGCUUUUCCUUUCGGGUUUCCCCUCAAGGUUUUUAAAAUGCCUCUCCAAUGGAGAGGUUUCCACACCCUUAUAAGAAAUACUUGGUUCCCUUCUCCGACUGACAUAUAAAGAAUGUUUUGUUCCUCUCUCCAACCGAUGUGGGAUCUCACAGCUAAAGUACGUUCAUAUUUCUCUUUCUUUUUUCAUUGAAUUCAGUAGAUCAUUCUUUUAAUGUUUCACACGGUUCUAUUCCAAGGAUUUAUAGCCUUAAAAACUAAUUGAAUCUUUAAGAUCAAGUAAAUGAACAAUAGAUAGAUUUGAUAGGAGGCACAAUCAAGUUUUCUAUUGGAUCAUGGCUGGAUCAAAUUAUCGUAGAUUCAAUAUUCAAUAUUACUUUUCUUUUGAAGUAUGCUUACUACAUUCUCUAAGUUACAAAAAUGGAUCAGAAACUCACCCAGCUAUAGUAACAAUUGUGAUGUCCCACAUUGAUUGGGGAGGAAAACAAACCACCAUUUAUAAGGGUGUGGAAACCUUUCCCUAGCA